CUUCCGCCACCUCUACAGCCGGUCAUCGCGUAGAACUCAUCAUGUGCGGCUCCAUGCCGUUCGCCUGUCUUGGCCCUCAGGCAAGGGCCUCUGAAUUCACUGAGGACUCAGCUCCACUGGGGUUCCCUCCUCGCUCGGUGGAGGCCGACAUGGCCUUGGCCCAGCUCCUUUGCGCCCAGUUGGCUUGGUGGCCCCACUCUAGAAUGGGAGCCCUGCAGGCAGGGUUGCGUCCAGGGCAGACCUGGCCCGUCUGCUGCGAUCAGUAGCCAACACUGAGGGUGGCCCACUGGUGGCCCAGCUUGCUGCUCUAGCUGGGACUGCUGGCGACACCUACCAGUCAUGGGACCCAGAAAGAGGAGCAGUCUGUGGUCAGAAAGCAAAGCACUGGGCUGCCCACUGGGAGGAGGAGUGGAGCUGAGAGCCAGGAGGAGGGAA
rnacentral:lncRNA from 1 species